rnacentral:rRNA from 1 species
GUGCCAGCAGCCGCGGUAAGACAGAGGGUGCAAACGUUGUUCGGAAUUACUGGGCGUAAAGCGCGUGUAGGCGGCUCGGCAAGUCGGGUGUGAAAGCCCUGGGCUUAACCUAGGAAGUGCACUCGAAACUGCCAAGCUUGAGUUCUGGAGAGGAAGGCGGAAUUCUCGGUGUAGAGGUGAAAUUCGUAGAUAUCGAGAGGAACACCGGUGGCGAAGGCGGCCUUCUGGACAGCAACUGACGCUGAGACGCGAAAGCGUGGGGAGCAAACAGGAUUAGAAACCCCCGUAGUCC